CCCUUAGAUGUUCUGGGCCGCACGCGCGCUACACUGACGAUGGCAACGAGUUUUUCCUUCGCCGAAAGGUGUGGGUAAUCUUUUGAAACAUCGUCGUGCUGGGGAUAGAUCAUUGCAAUUUUUGAUCUUGAACGAGGAAUUCCUAGUAAGCGCGAGUCAUCAGCUCGCGUUGAUUACGUCCCUGCCCUUUGUACACACCGCCCGUCGCUACUACCGAUUGAAUGGUUUAGUGAGGACUCCUGAUUGGCGCCGCCGCCCCGGCAACGGAGCAGCGGACUGCCGAAAAGUUGUUCAAACUUGAUCAUUUAUAGGAAGUAAAAGUCGUAACA
rnacentral:rRNA from 1 species